rnacentral:rRNA from 1 species
AGAGUUUGAUCCUGGCUCAGGAUGAACGCUGGCGGCGUGCUUAACACAUGCAAGUCGAACGAAGCACUUUAUUUGAUUUCCUUCGGGACUGAUUAUUUUGUGACUGAGUGGCGGACGGGUGAGUAACGCGUGGGUAACCUGCCUUGUACAGGGGGAUAACAGUUGGAAACGGCUGCUAAUACCGCAUAAGCGCACAGCAUCGCAUGAUGCAGUGUGAAAAACUCCGGUGGUAUAAGAUGGACCCGCGUUGGAUUAGCUAGUUGGUGAGGUAACGGCCCACCAAGGCGACGAUCCAUAGCCGACCUGAGAGGGUGACCGGCCACAUUGGGACUGAGACACGGCCCAAACUCCUACGGGAGGCAGCAGUGGGGAAUAUUGCACAAUGGGCGAAAGCCUGAUGCAGCGACGCCGCGUGAGCGAAGAAGUAUUUCGGUAUGUAAAGCUCUAUCAGCAGGGAAGAUAAUGACGGUACCUGACUAAGAAGCACCGGCUAAAUACGUGCCAGCAGCCGCGGUAAUACGUAUGGUGCAAGCGUUAUCCGGAUUUACUGGGUGUAAAGGGAGCGCAGGCGGUGCGGCAAGUCUGAUGUGAAAGCCCGGGGCUCAACCCCGGUACUGCAUUGGAAACUGUCGUACUAGAGUGUCGGAGGGGUAAGCGGAAUUCCUAGUGUAGCGGUGAAAUGCGUAGAUAUUAGGAGGAACACCAGUGGCGAAGGCGGCUUACUGGACGAUAACUGACGCUGAGGCUCGAAAGCGUGGGGAGCAAACAGGAUUAGAUACCCUGGUAGUCCACGCCGUAAACGAUGAAUACUAGGUGUUGGGAAGCAUUGCUUCUCGGUGCCGUCGCAAACGCAGUAAGUAUUCCACCUGGGGAGUACGUUCGCAAGAAUGAAACUCAAAGGAAUUGACGGGGGCCCGCACAAGCGGAGGAACAUGUGGUUUAAUUCGAUGAUACGCGAGGAACCUUACCCGGGCUCGAACGGCACCUGGAUCACCCAGAGAUGGGCGAGUCUUCGGACAGGUGUCGAGGUGCUGCAUGGUUGUCGUCAGCUCGUGCCGUGAGGUGUCGGCUCAAGUGCCAUAACGAGCACAACCCUUGCCGCCAGUUGCCAUCAGGUGAUGCUGGGCACUCUGGCGGGACUGCCACCGCAAGGUGUGAGGAGGGGGGGGAUGACGUCAAGUCAGCACGGCCCUUACGUCCGGGGCGACACACGUGUUACAAUGGCGGCCACAGAGGGAAGCUACCCCGCGAGGGGAUGCGGAUCUCGAAAAGCCGUCCCAGUUCGGACUGGAGUCUGCAACCCGACUCCACGAAGUUGGAUUCGCUAGUAAUCGCGCAUCAGCCAUGGCGCGGUGAAUACGUUCCCGGGCCUUGUACACACCGCCCGUCAAGCCAUGGAAGCCGCGGGCGCCUGAAGUCCGUGACCGGAAGGAGCGGCCUAGGGCGAAGGUGGUAACUGGGGCUAAGUCGUAACAAGGUA